rnacentral:tRNA from 1 species
GCCUUCGUGGUCUAGUGGUUAUGAUGCUCGCCUUCUCAGCGAGAGGUCACAGGUUCUAAUCCCGUCGGAGGCA